AGUUUAGCUCCACUGGAAAGGCCACCAGAGCAGGCUCGGUGGGUCCUGCAGACCUGCAGUGCAGGUUGGGCCCUGCGCCAGGGCAGGCGCAGCGUUCUUUGUCCAGGGUCCUCUCUUUCUCCCUUUAAAGAUAGGAUAAUCGACGGGCAUGGUGGCACACACUUUUGGUACCAGCACUCUGGAGGCUGAGUCUCUAUAAAUGCUCAUAUUCGUAAGCAGGGAGGGGCCCCAACUCAAGACAGCGUACAGAAGUUGCAGUGGUUAACAUAGAAAUCGAAACUAUGUAAAGUGCAGAGUGUCAGGGGAGU
rnacentral:lncRNA from 1 species